GAAGCGGGCAGAGGAAGCAGAGUAAAGAAAGAGCAGAAGUAGAACUGUUUUUAAGCUGUGUUUGAAGUUGAAAGGGAAGCAUCUUCUAGAAGCAUUUCUGUUUGUAUCUUUACAUCAAAACGCAGUUUGUUUUCCAUACAGUUACAUCUCUACCAGUCUUAUUAAGGGAAAUUACUGCUCUUUAACUUGCCAGACAACUCACAACAUGACAUCAUGGGGAACCCCCCAAAUGCCUGAAAACAAAUUCCUGGAGAGUGCAGAGUAGGAGGUGCUGGGAGCUCUGCUACUGUCUUUUCUCUCCUGUGGGAGAACGUGCUUCCAGCCGAGUUAGUAACAUGUCAUUGAGCAUUGGCUGCAUCUGCUGAGCAUUCAGUGCUUCAGAGUUUAAGUGAUGUGCAAACCAUUUUGAGCAAAAACAAAGGAAGUUUUAGGCCAACUAUCAGAAAGUUUUCUAAUGCCGAGUUAUGUCAUAUUGAAAGAGAUGUUUUACAUCAGGCAUGUCCGACCUGUGACUCAUUGUAUCUCUUGUAGGUACCAUGAAAAGACAGCAGGCAUUAUAUUUGGAGCAGCCUACGUGUAUCUGGUCCAAUACAACCCCUUUUUACUCAAUGCGGCCUGGUGGGUGAAGCCCAUUAUGUACCUGAAACCAGGUAGCUGAAGACAGAAAUACAAUCCCAUUCUUCCAAGCUUUCUCAGAGUGAAGGAAUCCAGCUGCCAGCUUCUCCUUGCACAUCAUGUACUUCAGACUUCCAAAUGGGAACUCAAUAUACAUACUUGAGAACAGGGCAGAAAUAGGUAUCAGAGCAGAGAAGAAAGUGAAGACACACUGCUGGCAUUCUAGAUGCUGUUCCGGUUUGGGAUAGUGCUUUUCUUACCACGGCCUUAAAGGACUUUGUGGAGAAACAGCACACUGCAUUAAGUGACAGCUCAGUCUGGUCCUGCCUCUCCAUUCAUCAUGUGGGCAUGG